UUGUUGCCUAGAGACACUCAUCUCAUGCAAACCGAGAGUUCCUUGGCGCCCCAGUGGGCUUAAAGCACUUUAUUCAUAGCAAUAGUAACUUAGAUGUCGGAUCUGUGCUGAAGAUCAUUUAUAUCAGGAUUAUUAAAUGUGACAAGAGAGAAAAUGGUGAACAAAAAGGACACAAAGUUACGAACUAAUGAGCCGAAAAGGACAAGGAGACUGGUCAGAAAAAACAGCAUAAAUGGUGGCAAACCAAACUUUUCUGAUGUUGCAGAGUUUCAGAAGAGUCACAAACAAGAAAGCAGCAGUUCUCAUAAUCUAAGCAGCAAAAUAUUCUUCAUCAUCUGCAGUCGUUGAUUAAACCGUGUAUAUUUUGUUUUUGCACUAUUAUUUAUUAUGAUACAGGUUCAUGUAAUCUCAAAAAAUAUCAAGCAUCUGUUUAAGAAAUGCACUGUUAAAGAAUAUACUAUAUAAAUGUAAAAUCACAGAUUCAAUCAGAAUAUAAGAUCAAUGUGUAUAAAUGGAUAUUGUAUUUAUAAGUACAUGUUUUUAAUCAAUCUGAUCUGAUAUUUACAGUAAUCAUUGAUGUAAUUGUUUUUGCUCUAUGCUACUGUACAGUCCCAAAAAAAUAAAUAAAAAAACAUCCUUCUCAUAA